rnacentral:rRNA from 1 species
CAUGUACGGAAUCCUUUAGAGAUAGAGGAGUGCUCGAAAGAGAGCCGUAACACAGGUGCUGCAUGGCUGUCGUCAGCUCGUGUCGUGAGAUGUUGGGUUAAGUCCCGCAACGAGCGCAACCCUUGUCAUUAGUUGCUACAUUCAGUUGGGCACUCUAAUGAGACUGCCGGUGACAAACCGGAGGAAGGUGGGGAUGACGUCAAGUCCUCAUGGCCCUUAUAGGUGGGGCUACACACGUCAUACAAUGGAUGGUACAAAGGGUCGCCAACCCGCGAGGGGGAGCCAAUCCCAUAAAGCCAUUCGUAGUCCGGAUCGCAGUCUGCAACUCGACUGCGUGAAGUCGGAAUCGCUAGUAAUCGUGGAUCAGAAUGUCACGGUGAAUACGUUCCCGGGUCUU